UCCCUGGAGCACUAGUGAUUAGGCUUUGGCAUGCUCGCCACUGCGGCCCAGGUUCGAUUCCUGGCCAGGGAA